UAGCUUUUGGCCAAAUUUCUAUAAGCUUCAGUUUCCAUAUCUUUAGGUGAGAAUAAUGGUACCCACCUUCUAAUUCUAGUGGUGUUGUGAGGAGCAGAGUGCUUGGCCCAGAAUGUGUUAUAAAUUUGGCUACUAUUAAAAUUAGCCUAUAUCACGUUGAGUCCUACUUCGAUCCCUUAGUGCCCAGAGAACUUGAACCUGAUGCUCAUAGGCCUCUCUGGUUUUUUGUUGUUGAGACCCUGUCAAUUGCCAGCUCCAUAAUAGUCAGGAUAUAGGAAUUACUGUCCAAUGGGGAGCAGGAAACAGAUGAGUGGUGAUGAACUGAAAGUGAUGCAGACAUCUGAGCAGAUAGGAGAGCUUUGAGAAUGUUGAAAGAGUUUUGAGGUAAUUUCAGAAUAAGGAAGAGAUGACUAAAGAAAACUUGGUCUUUAUUCAUUGCUCUGCUACUGUAUUGUUGUUUUUCCCAUUCCACUGAUAUUUUCAAACGGAGAAUCACCUUUGGCAGAUGAGGAACUGGCAUAUUGAGAAGAUUUUGGUAAAGUUGGUGAAGGUCAUGGUUUACUGCAGAACUGAAAUCACUUUUCACCUGUAUCUUCCCUACUAAAACUUCUAGGAAUCAUCAGUUCUUGCUUGCCAAGUGAUUCAAGACUACAAGCAAUUCCCUAGUUGAUGUGUUCUUGAAUUAUGUUUGAAAGGGGAAUAUGGACGAGUCAAGCAAUAGAUUUACAUGUGAUUAUAAUAAAUGGCGAAUGAUGACCAGUUUGUAUUUUACCUCUUGAUUAUUAAACUUUGUUUCAUU
rnacentral:lncRNA from 1 species